GAGACGGCCAUUACGUUUCUGGAGACGAACGGGAGGACUGGAGGGUGUACAAAAGAGGGUGGCAGCUUCAGUCGUUGGAGCCAGGGUACCCAGUGUACAUGCUUUGAUGCCAAAAAAGAAGGACCAAUGCGCUGGGGCCAAAAAAGCCAAACAUGGAAGCCUUCUUGAACUGGCUUCAUGCACCACUGAGCAGCUCCUAUGGGAAUCCAUGGAACUGUUCUACUCACACGUCAACCUGCCUUGUGAUGUCUCAUCCUGGAUGAACAACUAACACCCAAAGCUUAAUCUGGU